GACGAGCCUCACAAACGUUAUUCGGAAUUACUGGCUUAAAGGGUGCGUAGGCGGCGUAGAAAGUUGGGUGUGAAAUCCCUCGGCUCAACCGAGGAACUGCGCCCAAAACUACUAUGCUCGAGGGAGAUAGAGGAAUGCGGGAACUUAGGGUGGAGCGGUGAAAUGCGUUGAUAUCCUAGGGAACACCGGUGGCGAAAGCGGCAUUCUGGACCGAGACUGACGCGUGAGG
rnacentral:rRNA from 1 species